GCUAUUUUGGCAGACAAGUGCGGUAGAUUUAGAAUCUAUUUAUGCAAAUUUUAUUUUGUAAGUAGUG
rnacentral:tRNA from 1 species